UGCAGUGGGUUGGAGCUUCAGCCUACACUGUAAAGAAUUGGUCAGCCUGGGGACUGGUGAUCUCUGCAGCUGUGGGCUCAGCUCUGGGCUGGCCUGG
rnacentral:miRNA from 1 species